rnacentral:misc_RNA from 1 species
GAUGAAGAACGCAGCGAAAUGCGAUACGUAAUGUGAAUUGCAGAAUUCAGUGAAUCAUCGAAUCUUUGAACGCAUAUUGCGCUCUCUGGUAUUCCGGAGAGCAUGCUUGUUUGAGUAUCAGUAAACACCUCAACUUCCAUAUCUUUUUUGAAAUGGGAGUUGGACUUGAGUGAUCCCAACGCUUUUCCUCACCGAAAAGUGGCGGGUUACUUGAAAUGCAGGUGCAGCUGGACUUUUCUCUGAGCUAUAAGCAUAUCUAUUUAGUCUGCCUAAAAAACAGAUUAUUACCUUUGCUGCAGCUAACAUAAAGGAGAUUAGUUCUUGUGCUGACUGAUGCAGGAUUCACAAAGACAGGCUUCGGCCGACUUUGUAAACUCGAUCUCAAAUCAAGUAAGACUACCCGCUGAAUUUAAGCAUAUCAAUAAGCGGAGGA